GGACGAACGCUGGCGGCGUGCUUAACACAUGCAAGUCGAACGGAAAGGCCUCUUUCGGGGGGUACUCGAGUGGCGAACGGGUGAGUAACACGUGAGUAACCUGCCCUUGACUUUGGGAUAACUUCAGGAAACUGGGGCUAAUACCGGAUAGGAGCUCCUGCUGCAUGGUGGGGGUUGGAAAGUUUCGGCGGUUGGGGAUGGACUCGCGGCUUAUCAGCUUGUUGGUGGGGUAGUGGCUUACCAAGGCUUUGACGGGUAGCCGGCCUGAGAGGGUGACCGGCCACAUUGGGACUGAGAUACGGCCCAGACUCCUACGGGAGGCAGCAGUGGGGAAUAUUGCACAAGGGGUGGAAGCCUGAUGCAGCAACGCCGUGUGCGGGAUGACGGCCUUCGGGUUGUAAACCGCUUUCGCUCAUGACGAAGCUUUGUGUGACGGUAGUGGGUAAAGAAGCACCGGCUAACUACGUG
rnacentral:rRNA from 1 species